ensembl:snRNA U6 U6 spliceosomal RNA
GUGCUCGCUUCGGCAGCACAUAUAUUAAAAAUUGGAACGAUACAGAGAUUAGCAUGACCCCUGCGCAAGGAUGACAUGCAAAUUCGUGAAGCGUUCCAUAUUUAA